rnacentral:rRNA from 1 species
GAUGAACGCUGGCGGCGUGCCUAAUACAUGCCAGUCGAGCGAACAGACGAGGAGCUUGCUCCUCUGACGUUAGCGGCGGACGGGUGAGUAACACGUGGAUAACCUACCUAUAAGACUGGGAUAACUUCGGGAAACCGGAGCUAAUACCGGAUAAUAUAUUGAACCGCAUGGUUCAAUAGUGAAAGACGGUUUUGCUGUCACUUAUAGAUGGAUCCGCGCCGCAUUAGCUAGUUGGUAAGGUAACGGCUUACCAAGGCAACGAUGCGUAGCCGACCUGAGAGGGUGAUCGGCCACACUGGAACUGAGACACGGUCCAGACUCCUACGGGAGGCAGCAGUACGGAAUCUUCCGCAAUGGGCGAAAGCCUGACGGAGCAACGCCGCGUGAGUGAUGAAGGUCUUCGGAUCGUAAAACUCUGUUAUUAGGGAAGAACAAAUGUGUAAGUAACUAUGCACGUCUUGACGGUACCUAAUCAGAAAGCCACGGCUAACUACGU